rnacentral:rRNA from 1 species
UACGGAGGGGGCUAGCGUUGUUCGGAAUUACUGGGCGUAAAGCGCACGUAGGCGGCUUUGUAAGUUAGAGGUGAAAGCCCAGGGCUUAACCCUGGAAUUGCCUUUAAGACUGCAUCGCUCGAAUUGUGGAGAGGUGAGUGGAAUUCCGAGUGUAGAGGUGAAAUUCGUAGAUAUUCGGAAGAACACCAGUGGCGAAGGCGACGCACUGGACACAUAUUGACGCUGAGGUGCGAAAGCGUGGGGAGCAAACAGG